CAAAGUAUCGCCGACCCUUUCGUUUAUUAAGCACAUGCGGAAGCAGUUAAAAUCCCCAGACAAUAAAACGAUGGGAUAGAAAAGUAGGGCCAUAUUUUUCAUAUUGAAAUUUAUAACCAAACUUUUAUACAAAACACAAACCAAUUUAUAACUAUUCACUUCAAAAGAAAUUCUCAAAAGAAGAUAGACUCUCAGCCCAUUUAGGCCAUACUUAAGGCCCCUCUCGGGAUUAUCUUCUUCUUCCAAAAAUCCUUCUCUUUAAGUUUCACCUCCGAGUUCUCCUUCUUAGACUCCUCCUCAGCUCCUCAUCGGGGUCCUGAAAUGUUUUUCCCCAAACUGGGAUGAGACUACGUCUCAGCGAGUUCUACCCCACUAAGCCCGAUUAGUAAACCAUUAUACUAUAGGCUGCCUAAACACGCACAGGGCAGAGGACUUACCUUGGCCUCAGAUUCCACCUGCAAGUCAGUACAAUUCACAUACCUUACGUAUAGAAUCGAUACAUCCAGCAAUUGAAACGCAUCACUCAACUCAAUAAAACACAAGGGUCCAGAUUAUAGGGCCAAAUCGUUAUGACACGUCCCAUACCAUGUCACACAAUUAUGUCUCAUAAUCCGGCGCAUCAAACUCAACCAUCAUGCGUUCCAAUUGUUAAUUACACCCCUCAAGGGUACGGCCAACUCUAUUGGCGGUCUUCUGGCAUUGCCAGGCGUCGUCUCCCCCGUGAGCACGGCAACGUCUCUCAAUUAGACGGCUUCCCCGAAGGGGCGUAGGUCCAGAAUCUACUGCGACCCGCUACCCUAAUGCAUGGGUAACCCGAAAAGGGAUUUAGUAACGUCCGGCAUAAUUGCUCGAGACUGGUUCUCUUAACCAACACACGACCACUCAAUCUCGGCCUAGGACCCUGUGCAUUGCACUCAAAUGCCUCCAUUAAAAUAGUGAUCCUGGCCUAUUUCCUUCGUAUUAAAAACAUCCCGAAAAUAGUCGUGUGUGGGUACACGGUCAAUUCGAACCAGAAGACUGAUACUUAUCUUUUUCAAACCCCACUAUUUGAUAUAGUACUAAAAAUCCAUUUUCGGUGUUAAAACCCGACACCCGGGAUUUUCUGAAUAAAUAUCAAGAUCCACAAAUUUUGGAAUUAAAUACCAAGAAUCCAAUCAGCACUCAAUUUGCAUAAUUUAACACUCAAUUGCAGAAUUUAACCACGCCAUUUACCAAUCCAUAAUUCAGUCUCUAUCAAUUCCAAUCAAUUUAGAGUAAAUCUCUAAAAUAUCACAAUUUAUUUAAUUCCAUACAACGUGGAGCUCAAAUAAAUAAACGGACUGCGCCACAAUGAUCAGCACGAGAUUUCGGUCGUCGGCCAUCAAAAUCUUAAUUUCCGAAAAAUAAUUAAUUAAUUUAUUAAUUUUGAAAAUUAAAUAAUUAAUAUUAAAAAUUCAAUUUAGCACAAAAUAAAGCCUAAUUAAAUAAACGAACUUCACCACAGUCAUCAGCAUAAAAUUCCGGUUCCGGACCAUCUCAGUUGAAUUUUCGGAAAAUAAAUAAAUAAUUAAUUUAAUUCCGAAAAAUAAUAUUUAAAUGCCAAAAAUCACACUUAGGCCCAAAUCGCCAAAUUGAAGCCCAAUUAGGGGUCGGAAAAUUUCCGAGAUACUUCCAAUAAAUAGUAGACCACGUCUACUUGUUAAUUGCGCAAUCAAUUUAUCUAAAUCACAUCACAAUUAACUAAUAAUUGCUAAUUUAUUCUAAUCUAACAACCUAAACAUAAUUAAUUAAAACUAAACCAACCUUAAGCAUAAUUAGCCAACUAAUCCUGGAUUAGUGAGAUUACUCACCAAAUCGUGCGCAAAUCGGAUCAAUCCGACGGCGGCGACGCGAGGAACGAAACUUCCCAAAGCGACUCGCGGAUCCAGGGCCCGGAAACGGCCCAAAAGCGGGCCCAAACCAGCUGGAAACCCAUUUCGUGGGUUGCUGGUCGGGGCUGGCCGGGGUUGCUCCGGUGGCCAAAACAGCGAGGGAAGGCCAGCGGAAGGUGAGGGGGACGCCGGGGAGGUCCGGCGGAGUUGGGCGGUGGCCGGAGGUGGCCGGACGGGGCGGAACACGGGCUGAGUAGAGGCUGAACGGUGCACGGCGAGGACGGCACGCGCGAAGGGGCGGUGGCGGAGCACGCGGCGUGCGCGGGCGAGCGUUGCGCGGGUGGUGGUCCGGCUCCGGUGCGGCGGCGAUGAGCUUCGGCGAGCUGAUUUUCUUCUUUGCUGGUUUUGGUCUCGUUCGCACAAAGAAGAACGAAGAAGAAGAAGAUCACGUGGGAUGAUGGAGAAGAGAGAGGAGAGAGAAGAAGAGAUAAGAGAGAGAAGUUUUGACUAGUCAAAGAGGAGAGAGAAGAGAAAGCAAAAUUGAACUUGGCAAGGGUGUGUUCGGUGGGG
rnacentral:lncRNA from 1 species